GAAACACUGAUACACAAGGAGAUUAUUCAGCAAGAGUGGCACACAUUGAAGAUAAGUUAUCUCUGUGUCCUUCACAAAGGACUCAGGCUCCCAGCGCUUAAAAACUGUGCCUGCGGUGAAUCUGCAGCCAGAGAAGCGCUGGAUGGAAGUCCGAAGUCCGCUCCCUGCCUGACCUCAGGCUUCUCAUCUGAUCUCCAGGAGUCUCA
rnacentral:lncRNA from 1 species